rnacentral:rRNA from 1 species
UGGGGAAUAUUGGACAAUGGGGGCAACCCUGAUCCAGCAAUGCCGCGUGUGUGAAGAAGGCCUUCGGGUUGUAAAGCACUUUAGGCGGGGAAGAAGGUUGGUAUUUUAAGAGAUAACUAACUUGACGGUACCCGCAGAAGAAGCACCGGCUAACUCCGUGCCAGCAGCCGCGGUAAUACGGAGGGUGCGAGCGUUAAUCGGAAUUACUGGGCGUAAAGCGUGCGUAGGCGGGUCGUUAAGUCAGAUGUG